GGGGAUAUAGCUCAAUGGUAGAGCAUUCGACUGCAGAUCGAGAGGUCCCGGUUCAAACCCGAGUGUCCUCU
rnacentral:tRNA from 1 species